GGGAAGGAAUAGGAUGAUAAAAUGUUAUCAGAGCGACAGUCAGGCUGGUCGGCGAACUAGGAAGGGGGAGGGAUGGAGAGAGAGGGAAAGCAAGGGCUACUUGAAGUUAGAGAAGUCAAUGUUCAUACCACUGGGGUGUAAGCUGCCCAAGCGA